rnacentral:rRNA from 1 species
AUACGGAGGAUGCAAGCGUUAUCCGGAUUUAUUGGGUUUAAAGGGUGCGUAGGCGGAUGAUUAAGCGUGAGGUGAAAUGCCACUGCUCAACAGUGGAACUGCCUCGCGAACUGGUUGUCUUGAAUGCUCCUGCCGUGGGAGGAAUGUGUGGUGUAGCGGUGAAAUGCAUAGAGAUCACACAGAACACCGAUUGCGAAGGCAUCUCACGAAGGGGUGAUUGACGCUGAGGCACGAAAGCGUGGGGAUCAAACAGGAUUAGAUACCCUGGUAGUCCACGCAGUAAACGAUGAUAACUAACCGCUGGGUCGUAGUGAUUCAGUGGCCAAGCGAAAGCGAUAAGUGAUCCACCUGGGGAGUACGACCGCAAGGUUGAAACUCAAAUGAAUUGACGGGG